CGAUACUAAUAGCUCGAUUGGUUUACUUUG
rnacentral:rRNA from 3 species